rnacentral:rRNA from 1 species
CCUACGGGUGGCAGCAGUGGGGAAUAUUGCACAAUGGGGGAAACCCUGAUCCAGCGACGCCGCGUGAGUGAAGAAGUAAUUCGUUAUGUAAAGCUCUAUUAGCAGGGAAGAAAAUGACGGUACCUGAGUAAGAAGCCCCGUCUAACUACGUGCCAGCAGCCGCGGUAAUACGUAGGGGGCAAGGGUGAUCCGGAUGUACUGGGUGUAAAGGGAGCGUAGACGGCAGUGCAAGUCUGGAGUGAAAGGCGGGGGCUCAACCCCCGGACUGCUCUGGAUACUGUCGGGCUGGAGUGCAGGAGCGGUAAGUGGAAUGCCUAGUGUAGCGGUGAAAUGCGUAGAUAUUAGGCAGAACACCAGUGGCGAAGGCAGCUUACUGGACUGUAACUGACGUUGAGGCUCGAAAGCGUGGGGAGCAAACAGGAUUAGAUACCCCGGUAGUC